rnacentral:rRNA from 1 species
GCCUAAUACAUGCAAGUCGAGCGAACAGACGAGGAGCUUGCUUCUCUGACGUUAGCGGCGGACGGGUGAGUAACACGUGGAUAACCUACCUAUAAGACUGGGAUAACUUCGGGAAACCGGAGCUAAUACCGGAUAAUAUAUUGAACCGCAUGGUUCAAUAGUGAAAGACGGUUUUGCUGUCACUUAUAGAUGGAUCCGCGCCGCAUUAGCUAGUUGGUAAGGUAACGGCUUACCGAGGCAACGAUGCGUAGCCGACCUGAGAGGGUGAUCGGCCACACUGGAACUGAGACACGGUCCAGACUCCUACGGGAGGCAGCAGUAGGGAAUCUUCCGCAAUGGGCGAAAGCCUGACGGAGCAACGCCGCGUGAGUGAUGAAGGUCUUCGGAUCGUAAAACUCUGUUAUUAGGGAAGAACAAAUGUGUAGGUAACUAUGCACGUCUUGACGGUACCUAAUCAGAAAGCCACGGCUAACUACGUGCCAGCAGCCGCGGUAAUACGUAGGUGGCAAGCGUUAUCCGGAAUUAUUGGGCGUAAAGCGCGCGUAGGCGGUUUUUUAAGUCUGAUGUGAAAGCCCACGGCUCAACCGUGGAGGGUCAUUGGAAACUGGAAAACUUGAGUGCAGAAGAGGAAAGUGGAAUUCCAUGUGUAGCGGUGAAAUGCGCAGAGAUAUGGAGGAACACCAGUGGCGGAGGCGACUUUCUGGUCUGUAACUGACGCUGAUGUGCGAGAGCGUGGGGAUCAAACAGGAUUAGA